rnacentral:rRNA from 1 species
CCUACGGGAGGCAGCAGUGGGGAAUAUUGCACAAUGGGGGAAACCCUGAUGCAGCGACGCCGCGUGAGUGAAGAAGUAUUUCGGUACGUAAAGCUCUAUCAGCAGGGAAGAAAAAAAGUCCUUUGGACUUUGGACGGUACCUGACUAAGAAGCCCCGGCUAACUACGUGCCAGCAGCCGCGGUAAUACGUAGGGGGCAAGCGUUAUCCGGAUUUACUGGGUGUAAAGGGAGCGUAGACGGCGGGGCAAGUCUGGAGUGAAAUGCCGGGGCCCAACCCCGGAACUGCUUUGGAAACUGUGCAGCUAGAGUGCAGGAGAGGUAAGCGGAAUUCCUAGUGUAGCGGUGAAAUGCGUAGAUAUUAGGAGGAACACCAGUGGCGAAGGCGGCCUGCUGGACUGCAACUGACGUUGAGGCCCGAAAGCGUGGGGAGCAAACAGGAUUAGAUACCCUUGUAGUC